rnacentral:rRNA from 1 species
AAAACGACUCUCGGCAACGGAUAUCUCGGCUCUCGCAUCGAUGAAGAACGUAGCGAAAUGCGAUACUUGGUGUGAAUUGCAGAAUCCCGUGAACCAUCGAGUCUUUGAACGCAAGUUGCGCCCGAAGCCAUCCGGCCGAGGGCACGUCUGCCUGGGCGUCAC